AUUGAACGCUGGCGGCAGGCCUAACACAUGCAAGUCGAGCGGAUGAAGGGAGCUUGCUCCUGGAUUCAGCGGCGGACGGGUGAGUAAUGCCUAGGAAUCUGCCUGGUAGUGGGGGAUAACGUCCGGAAACGGGCGCUAAUACCGCAUACGUCCUGAGGGAGAAAGUGGGGGAUCUUCGGACCCCACGCUAUCAGAUGAGCCUAGGUCGGAUUAGCUAGUUGGUGGGGUAAAGGCCUACCAAGGCGACGAUCCGUAACUGGUCUGAGAGGAUGAUCAGUCACACUGGAACUGAGACACGGUCCAGACUCCUACGGGAGGCAGCAGUGGGGAAUAUUGGGCAAUGGGCGAAAGCCUGAUCCAGCCAUGCCGCGUGUGUGAAGAAGGUCUUCGGAUUGUAAAGCACUUUAAGUUGGGAAGAAGGGCAGUAAGUUAAUACCUUGCUGUUUUGACGUUACCAACAGAAUAAGCACCGGCUAACUUCGUG
rnacentral:rRNA from 1 species